rnacentral:rRNA from 1 species
AGAAUACAGAAACAUCCAUAGAGACCAAAUAUCAUUCACGCCUACCGAUAGCUGGGUGCUACUCAAAAGACAUAAAAGUGUCUCCCUCUAAAACGAGGGAAUAGUUUUCUUGGGAUCAGCUAAGAAAACAAAACGUAAUGAAAAAACAAACUUAAAAGAUUAAAUAAGCCUAAAAACAGCUACAGUAAAAAAACCAGUAAAAAGGUAACCAAUUAAACUUAAGAAUAAUCAUAAAUAAUUCAUGCAAAAAUAGAGAGCAUUUAAGAAAAACAAAAAACCUUAAGUAAAAAUGAAUAGCAUAAGUAUAAAAUAUGAUAAAUAAUACAUAAUAAAAGAAAAAUUAACAAAGGAACUCGGCAAAAAUAGAGCAAAGACUGUUUAACAAAAACAUAGCUUCUAGAAAUAAUUAGAAGUAAAAUCCUGCCCGGUGAAAGUAAUUUUAAACGGCCACAAUCGUGCUAAGGUAGCGUAAUCAGUUGUCCUUUUAUUGAGGACUAGUAUGAAAGGAAAAACGAGGCUCAACUGUCUCUGUUAAUAAAAUAAGAAAUUAGUUAUUAGGUGAAAAAACCUAAAUAAAAUUAAAGGACGAAAAGACCCUAUAGAGUUUGAAUAUAUUACUUUAUAUGUAAACUCAAAACGAUACAAAUAAAAUAAAUAUUUUAAUUGGGGCAACAUAGGAACAAAAAAAUUUCCUUAAAUAACACAUUUAACAUUUUAAAAUUAAAAAUCCUCAAGAGAUAAAGAAAAACUACCUUUGGGAUACAGCGUAAUUUU